rnacentral:rRNA from 1 species
ACGGGGUGCAGCAGGCGCGAAACCUCUACAAUGCAGGAAACUGUGAUAGGGGAAUCCCAAGUGCCUACACAAAGUGUAGGCUUUUGCCAAAGGUAAAAACUUUGGAGAAUAAGUGGUGGGAAAGACUGGUGCCAGCAGCCGCGGUAACCCCAGCGCCACAAGUGGCAAUCACAUUUAUUGGGCCUAAAGCGUCCGUAGCCGGUUUGGAAAAUCUUAUGUGAAAUCGUCAUGCUCAACGUGACGGCGUGCAUGAGACACUACCAGACUAGGGACCGGGAGGAGUCAGAGGUAUGCCGGGGGGAGCGGUAAAAUGCUAUAAUCCCUGGUGGACCACCUGUGGCGAAGGCGUCUGACCAGAACGGAUUCGACGGUGAGGGACGAAAGCUAGGGGAGCGAACCGGAUUAGAUACCCGAGUAGUCCUAGCUGUAAACGCUGCGAGCUAGGUGUUGCACAUUCUUCGAGAAUGCGCAGUGUCGAAGCGAAGGUGAUAAGCUCGCCGCCUGGGAAGUACGGUCGCAAGAC